UGGGGAAUUUUGCACAAUGGGGGGAACCUUGAUGCAGCGACGCCGCGUGAGGGAUGGAGGCCUUCGGGUUGUGAACCUCUUUCGCUCGUGUGCAAGCCGCUAUUUGGGUAGUGGUGAGUGUAGCGGGUAAAGAAGCGCCGGCUAACUACGUGCCAGCAGCCGCGGUAAUACGUAGGGCGCGAGCGUUGUCCGGAUUUAUUGGGCGUAAAGGGCUUGUAGGCGGUUUGUCGCGCCUGUCGUGUAAUCCUCUGGCUUAACUGGGGGUGUGCGGUGGGUACGGGCAGGCUUGAGUGCGGUAGGGGGGAUUGGAAUUCCUGGUGUAGCGGUGGAAUGCGCAGAUAUCAGGAGGAACACCGGUGGCGAAGGCGGGUCUCUGGGCCGUUACUGACGCUGAGGAGCGAAAGCGUGGGGAGCGAACAGG
rnacentral:rRNA from 1 species